rnacentral:rRNA from 1 species
UACGGAGGGGGCUAGCGUUGUUCGGAAUUACUGGGCGUAAAGCGCACGUAGGCGGCUUUGUAAGUUAGAAGGUGAAAGCCCAGGGCCUUGAACCCUACGGAAUUGCCUUUUAACGAUACUAGCAUCGCUCGAAUUGUGGAGAGGUGAGUGGAAUUCCGAGUGUAGAGGUGAAAUUCGUAGAUAUUCGGAAGAACACCAGUGGCGAAGGCGACUCACUGGACACAUAUUGACGCUGAGGUGCGAAAGCGUGGGGAGCAAACAGG